rnacentral:rRNA from 1 species
UGAGGAAUAUUGGUCAAUGGACGCAAGUCUGAACCAGCCAUGCCGCGUGAAGGAUGAAGGUCCUCUGGAUUGUAAACUUCUUUUAUCUGGGACGAAAAAAGGGAAUUCUUUCUCACUUGACGGUACCAGAGGAAUAAGCACCGGCUAACUCCGUGCCAGCAGCCGCGGUAAUACGGAGGGUGCAAGCGUUAUCCGGAUUCACUGGGUGUAAAGGGAGCGUAGGUGGGCUUGUAAGUCAGUGGUGAAAUCUCCGAGCUUAACUCGGAAACUGCCAUUGAUACUAUAGGUCUUGAAUUAUCUGGAGGAAAGUGGAAUAUGUCAUGUAGCGGUGAAAUGCUUAGAUAUGACAUAGAACACCGAUUGCGAAGGCAGCUUACUACGGAUAUAUUGACACUGAGGCUCGAAAGCGUGGGGAUCAAACA